GGCGGCCGAGGCGGCGGCGGCGGCGCUGGCUCUUGUCACCCGGCAGCGGGAGCGCCAGGACCAAGGCAGCUAAGAGCACGCUACGUCUUUCUCACAUCUUUAGAGUGUGGAAUGGAAGAGAAUUUUACACGAUCUGGGAAAGGCAGUACAGGAGUGUGAUCCGGCGUGAUUAAAAGUGCCACCGCCAGACUCAUCAUCUCUAGACCAAAAUACAAAGAGUAAAAAGAUGGACAACCCAUCCAGCGCUGUGGCAAAUUUAAGCGGCCCCGAAAGAAUAGAGGGGAUUAAAGGAAAACGUUGUUUGCAGGUGAAAUACUGCAUGUGAAAUUCAUUUGAAAUAUUGAAAUUUAGGGUCACGUGGUGCCGUACUUGAGAAGAUGAGGUUGAGUACCUUGCCCACGUAUCACAAUUCUCAUUUCUGCCCCUGAAUGAAACUCCUAGGUUUUAGGCCGUGUAGGAAAUACAGAUCUCUGAGAGACUGCUCCUGCCUUCAAUGAGUGUACAGUUCGGUGAGCUGCUAAAAUGAGAUUCUCCCAAGAAACAGAACCAAUAAGAGAUGGACAGGUCUAGAUAAAAAGAUGUGUUUGAGGAACUGGCUCACAUGAUUACAGAGACUGAGAAGUCCCACGAUCUGCAUCUAAAAGCCGGAGACCCAGCAAAGCCGAUGUGUAAUUCCUGUCUGAGUCCAAAGGCCUAACAACCAGAGGAGCUGAUGGUGUAAAUCCUCGUCCAAGGGCAGGAGAAGACCGAGGUCCCAGCUCAACCUGGCAGGUAGGAAGCAAAAGGGACGAAUUCCUCCUUCCUCCUUUUUGUUCUAUGCAGGCUCUCAACAGAUUGCAUGAGGCCCACCCACAUUGGGGAGAGCAGUCGACUUCACUGAGGCCACUGAUUCCACUGCUAACCUCAUUCGGAAACACCAUCACGGACCCGCCCCAUGGCUCAGCCAGGUUGACACAUAAAAUUAACCAUCACAACUCUCAAGUCCUAUUUCAGCGGUUCCUUUCAAACCGAGUUGAAGAUGCGAAAUAACUUUUGGACUUCUCUAGAGGAAACAUCAGCAGGACAGUCUCAUCAUUUACGGCCUGGGCCUUUGCUCCCGCCUGGCCUGCCCCACUUCUCCUCCGCACUCUAGAGCUCUUCCUGUUUGCCUGCUCUGUUCUCAGGGAAGCUCCGCUUGUGAAUCUUAUCGUUGACCCCAACUCCCCCAUCUGUCCCUGCCCUACUCAGGCCCCGGGGAACAGUGGGCGGGAAAAGCUGUUCAGCGCUUGUCACCCACUGUGGCUACUGCUGUUCCCUGAGCUAGCACAAGGCCUGUUCCCUCCUCACUCAGGUCACCGAAGGGUCCCUCGUUUCAUCUGCAGAAUCCUUUGUAGUCGAACCUUUGCUUCGAUGAGAUCUAUAUCUUAUGGGGAUAAUGUAGUUUUUAAAACAGCAAAGCAAAACAAAUAAAUUGGAUAUC